AUUGAACGCUGGCGGCAGGCUUAACACAUGCAAGUCGAGCGGAAACGAUGUAGCUUGCUACAGGCGUCGAGCGGCGGACGGGUGAGUAACGCGUAGGAAUCUGCCUAGUAGUGGGGGACAACAUGUGGAAACGCAUGCUAAUACCGAAUAAGCCUUCACAGGGAAAGUUUUAACGCCGAAAGAUGAGCCCGCACUUGAUUAGCUAGUUGGUAAGGUAAAAGCUUACCAAGGCAAUGAUCAAUAGCUGUUCUUAGGGGAAGACCAGCCACAUUGGGACUGAGACACGGCCCAG
rnacentral:rRNA from 1 species